rnacentral:rRNA from 1 species
GUGGGGAAUCUUCCACAAUGGACGAAAGUCUGACGGAGCAACGCCGCGUGAGUGAAGAAGGUUUUCGGAUCGUAAAGCUCUUUCGUUAGGGACGAACGUGCUCUUUGUGAAUAAUGAGGAGUAAUGACGGUACCUAAAUAAGAAGCCACGGCUAACUACGUGCCAGCAGCCGCGGUAAUACGUAGGUGGCAAGCGUUGUCCGGAAUUAUUGGGCGUAAAGCGCGCGCAGGCGGGAUAUCAAGUCUGUCUUAAAAGUGCGAGGCUCAACCUCGUGAGGGGACAGAAACUGGUAUUCUUGAGUGUCGGAGAGGAAAGUGGAAUUCCAAGUGUAGCGGUGAAAUGCGUAGAGAUUUGGAAGAACACCAGUGGCGAAGGCGACUUUCUGGACGAUGUCUGACGCUGAGGCGCGAAAGCUAGGGGAGCGAACGGGAUUAGAUACCCGAGUAGUCC